rnacentral:lncRNA from 1 species
GGAGAAGCAAUCUGAAUCCAGUGAAAUUGGAAUUGUUGAAAAAGAAACAUUCACUGCCACAUAACUAUUUGCAUAUAGCUUCACAUACUCUUUCAAUUUAUUUCUCUCACUUGCUACCCAGUGAAGGAAUCAGGAGGAUCAGAGAGGAAGAGGAAUAUGCACAAAGGCCAUAACUCUAAGUGGCAGCAUCAGGGUUUGAGCCUGGUCCAAAUUAAACUUCAUCUCCAUUUCCCAUAGGAAGAAACUGAGGACAGGAGGGGCCAAACAAGUUACAGUUUCAUCCCUCCAGAGAGCCAACAGAGUAUUUUGCACGAAGUUGAAGCUAAACAGGUAUUAUGUCCUAUCUCUGGACUGAAUGACUAGAUGCUACUCAGCUUCUGAACUAGAGGAAGCCUGGGACCUUGACCGCACUAAUGCUGAUGACAGCGGAUUUGCAAGUGGCUAGAGGUACCAGAUUUAGCAAAUCAAAAUAUAGGACGUCAAGUUAAAUUUAAGUGUAAGAUAAGCUACGAAUACCUUUUCUAGUAUUAGUACGUCCCAUGCAAUAUACUAGAAAUGUUAUUCGUUAUUUAUGUUAAAUUUAAUUUUAUUAGGGCAUCCUAUAUUUUACCUGUCAAUCCAACCCAUGACCUAGGCAGACACUGUAGAAAAACAAAAGGAGAAUUAAGGAGAUAAAUGAAACACAGGGUGAGCUGAAAAGAGGUGCUCUGUGAAUUUGAGGGUCCAGUAGGAGCUGACUUGUAGGUACUUGGUCUGUUUUGAUGCCCACAACAACCUUGGGGAAGGGGCGGAAUAGCAGAGGGGUAAGCUCUCUGCCCCCCACCAGGGUUCUGCAGGACGCCAGGGCUUUUAUCAGCACCCCUAUGUUCACAUCCUGGCUGCACCCUCCUUGGUUGUAUAUACUCUGGAUAAUUCACUUAAUUUAAAUCUUGCUGCUUUUAUAAAAUUGAUAAAAAGUUAAUAGUGACACUGAUCACACUGAUGUCCCUCAAUGAAUUAUCAAUAUGUUUUUUCUUCCCACCUAUAUUCUUUAUUGAACUCUGUUAUUUUUGAUCCUGGUCUAGAGUAAGCAUUAUGACCAUGCAAGAGUGAAAUGAAAUUUUUAAAAAUAAUUUUUUAAUGUUUUCUGAAUGCUGGGUGUUUUCAAUGAUCAUGCAUGACUGGCAGCAAAGAGGAACGAGGAUGGAUUCGAUAAGGUGCAACAAGUCCUGAACACACACAGAGAACUGGCUGUGAAUCCUGUUUCUGCCACUCACCACUUACUUGUUGGGUAACCUUAGCCACUUCAUUUAUCCUCUCUGAUCUUCAGGCCUACCUCAUGUCCUCCCCAAAGAGAUGGUGGGUAAGAGAGAACUUUGCAAAAGGCUGCCAGAGCAUAAAUAGGUCUUAUGACUAUGUAGCAGAAAAAUGGGACCUCAAAGAGGAGAGAGACCUGCAAAGCGGGGGACUGCUGCCAUUCUUUGAGUGGUGGCUCAAAAUAUUUCCCCAAACUGUCCCCAUCUGGUCAGGAUGCCCCACAGCCUUUUACUAAGAUGGUGUCUUCAUCUAGCCUCAGCCCAGCUGCAGUACCUUUCUGGAACUCCCACCACUGAUGCUCAAGAGGAGAGUGUAAGUUCAAGAGGGUUAAGCUCUCUACCCACCCGCUCAUCCACAGUCCCUCAGACAAGCAUGCAGAUACAUGCUUUGUUUGGUUGGUUGGUUGGUUGGUCGGUCGGUUGGUUUUGUUUUGAGACAGGGUCUUGCUCUGUUGCUCAGCUGGAGUGCAGUGGCGCAGUCACAGCUCACUGCAGCCUCGAUCUCCCAGGCUCAAGUGGUCCUCCCACCUCAGUCUCCCAAGUAGCCAGGACUACAGGCACAUGCCACCACACCUGGCUAAUUUUUCAGUUUUUUGUAGAGAUGGGGUCUUACUAUGUUGCUCAGUCUGGUCUUUAACUCCUGGGCUCAAGCAAUCCUCCUACUUUGGCCUCCCAAAGUGCUGGGAUUACAGGGGUGAGCCACCGUACCCAGCCCAAGAAUGCUUUUAGAUUGUACUCUCUAAAAAUUAAUGUUUGUUCCUGGGAGUAAUGCAUGAGCUAAUAUAACAAGUCUAUUAAUCAAAUGAACUGACAUAAUUCCUGCUAACACAUGUAGGAAUAUUGAAAAGGAAAUUCAGCCAGGAAGCUCUAAAUCCACAACAAAGUGCAAGAUACUAUAUUAUCACAUUGAAAAACACAAUCCAGCCACCUGAAACAAGCAGUGUGACCCAAAAGCCAUUUUCCUAAAUUUGUUGAAGGGUUUCUCCAGCCCUGCACUGUCCAAUAUGAUAGCCACUGGCCACAUGUGGCUGUUUAGUUUUAAAUUUUAAUGAAUUAGAAUUAAAUAAAAUGUAAAACUUAAUCCUCAGCUACAUUAUCCACAUUUCAAGUGCUUAACAGACAUAUGUGGCAAGUGGCUACCAUAUUGGAUGCAUCCCUCUCCUCAGUACAAUCCCACAGGGUGAGUGUGGUCCUCAAACUCCUUCCCAAACUUCCAAGUCACCAAGUAAACACCACAGGCUUCUCUGAGAGAUGAGAAGAAAAAAAUAAGGAAAUCUUUCAUUUAGCCAAAAAGCCAUGUCUUGACAAGAAAAGAUCAAUAUAAAUAAAAUUACAGGGCAAUUAUUGGAGAAGUGAUCUCUUCCAUCAGCAUUUGGACCAUUUAAAGUAGAUACAAAAGGAUAUAGAAGACUAGUUUCCGAAACAGCCCCAUGCUUUAGGACCUGGAUCGGGACUUUCAAAAAUAUAUACUUUUUUUUUAACUUUUAUUUUAAGUUCAGGGAUACAAGUGCAGGUUUGUUACAAAGGUAAAUUUGUGUCUGGGGGGUUUGUUGUACAGAUUAUUUCAUUACCCAGGUAUUAAGCCUAGUACCCAUUAGUUAUUUUUCCUGAUCUCCUCCCUCCUCCAACCUUCCACUCUCUGAAAGGCCCCAAUGUCUGCUGUUCCCCUCUAUGUGUUCAUAUGUUCUUAUCAUUUAGCUCCCACUUAUUAGUUAGAACAUGCAGUAUUUGGUUUUUGUAUCCUUAGGAUACGAAAGGAUAAUGGCCUCCAGCUCCAUCCAUGUCCCUGCAAAGGACAUCAUCUUAUUCUUUUUUAGGGCUGCAUAGUAUUCCGUGGUGUAUAUACCUUUUAAUGUAGAUUACCUUGAUUAUGGGAACAAUGUUGUUACAGAUUUUAUCGUUUUUGAGAAAGUAUAAUGAAAAUUGUGUCUAACAAAGUAAUAAGAUUCCUUUCUGUCUAUAUAGUGAAAAUGCUCAGGAUGUUCACUGCAGCCUGCCUCACCCUGGAAAAGAGAUGUGAGGAUAAUGAGAAAGAAGAGUAUGUUCAGUGCGGAGCAUGCAAAUUUGCAUGAAAAGUAAAUGUAACUUUGUGCCUAACUACAACUGGCUCCCACAGAUAUUUUAGUUCUCAGUUUUAAUAACAAGUGUCCAGCACAGAAAAGCCUAGAACAUAAAAGGGCCCGAUACAAAUUUACUGAUUUAAGAAAAAAUAAUGUUUGUUUUCCUAAGAAAGAUAAAGCACCAGUAAGAAAUGAAUCAUACUUGCAAUGAGAUAGAUAGAUAGAUAGAUAGAUAGAUAGAUAGAUAGAUAGAUAGACAGAAAAAAAUAAGCUAAAUUUAAAGUCAAAAAUCCACUGUCAAUUGGAUAAGAAAUUGAUGUUUGAGUCUAAAAAGUAAAGCUGGUCUUUAUUUUGUCCAGAUUUUAUUUUAUUUUAUGUGUGAUAGGGUCUUGCUUGCUCUGUAGUCCAGACAGGAGUGCAGUGGUGCCACCAUGCCUCACUGCAGCCUGAACCACCUGGGUUCAAGUGAUCCUCCUGCCUCAACCUCCCAAGUAACUAGAACCACAAGCAUGUGCCACUAUGCCCAACUAAUUUUAAAAUUUUUUUUAUAGAGAUGUGGCCUCUCCAUGUUGCCCUGGGCUCAAGUGACCUUCCUGCUUCUGCCUCCCAAAGUUCUGGGACUACAGGCAUGAGCCACCUCACCUUGUCUGUCUUUCUCCUUAAUCCAUUUCAUGUUGUUUAUGCUUUUUUUUUUUUUCUCUGAGAUGGAGUCUCAGUCUGUCUCCCAGGCUGGAGCGCAGUGGCACAAUCUGGGCUCACUACAACCUCCGCCUCCCAGGUUCAAGUGAUUCUCCUACCUCAGCCUCCCAAGUAGCUGGGAUUACAGGCACGUGCCACCAUGCCCGGGUAAUUUUUGUAUUUUUAGUAGAGACAGGGUUUCACCAUGUUGGCCAGGCUGGUCUCGAACUCCUGACUUCAGGUGAUCCACCCUUCUUGGCCUCCCAAAGUGCUGGGAUUACAGGCAUGAACCACCACACCCAGCCUGUUUAUGCUUUUAACCAGUAUCUACACUGGUUACAGUUUCUUUACCAAGUGAACUGACUCAAACCUUCAUUCAUACCCAAAAAGUCUGAACCCUUCAUGAAUUAGCCUAGAAUGAUGUCAAUGUUUUAAAUAGCCUUUGCCACCAGGCAUGGCGGUAUAAGAAGUCAUGCCACCAGCUCUCUCACUUUCUAAUUCUAUUCCUCCAGGCCCCUAUCAUAAUGCACCUUGGUCAGGUGCCACUUUUUUGCAAUGAGAAGAAGUCUACUCAAGCUAGCUAGGCCUUCCUGGGAUGAGAGAAUCUUUACCACUCUGGACCAUGCCAAAACACUGAGGACAGUAGCCACAUUCUUUUGAGGCUCUAUUGCUUGCAAACCUACUUCCCAGAAUCCAUUUCUCUUCUAGACAUAGGUCAGUUGGUUGCAAAGAACAGAAAUUAUCUCAGGUAACUUAAGUGAAGGAGGGUUUAUUGUAAGAGAAUUGGCAGCCACCCCAGCCCCUAAAGUAGACUGUUGAAACAAUUUGUUGAGUCUGGAGCCCUUCCUGAAUUAACAAAAGGGAGGAUCCAUUAAAGGAUAACACAGCUUAUUUAUUAUUUCAAUAGCUUCCCAGGCAAAGCAGGAAAGAAACCAGACCUCUUUUCUGCACAAUAAUGGGGCCCACUAACUCUGGGGAAAAGGUAAGGUACCUUCUAAUUGAGGAAAUAUAUCCUUUUUCAAUAUGAGUCUAGAUUGUACUCUUUAAAAAUUAAUGUUUGUUCCUGGGAGCAGUGCAUGAGCUAAUAUAACAAUUCUAUUAAUCAAAUGAACUGACAUUGUUCCUCCUAACACAUGUAGAAAUAUUGAAAAGGAAAUUCAGCCAGGAAGAUCUAAAUCCACAACAAACUGCAAUCUUGGAGUCUCUUCUUCCUUCCCCACCCCCAACCCACUUCUAUACACACAAUUUUGCAAGACUUGGAUAAAAAUAGUCACCAUUUUUAUCUGGUUAAAGUCCUGGGGACCCUACCUCUAAUUGGCACACUCAGACCGAGACACUUUGGUAAGGUAAGAACGGUAAAUUUGGAGAGAGAGAAAGAGCCAAGAAGUGAGAUCCCUCCUUGUGGAUAGGUGUGGGGUUUUCCCAAGGAAAUUGAUGGAGUUUCUAAUAAAUAAAAUCUUAAAAGGAGGCCCAUGGAGAAGGAAAAGAUGUGCAUCUAAAGGCCAGAGAGCUUGUGAAGGAUCUGGACCUGCAGGUAACAUCGCUUUGAGAAGUAAAGAGAAACUCUAAGGAGUGUUUUAUUCUUUCCUCUUUGAUGUACAAUCACUCUUCAGAAAUUGCCUCUUUAGUGAAGAAACCUGCAUAGAACCACUUAGGCUGUUGGUAAUUUUGAAAAGACUGGAAAGAGAGAACUAUAGAGGAAAAGGGAAAGAAAGACUUGCCCCAACCAUCACCUCUGAUUUACUGGAGAGAGACAUCAAGCGGGUGAUAAUGUAACCACCCAAUGUGUUCACUGUGCCCGCUGCCUAGACACAGCUGAUUUAUCAAGACAGGGGAAUUGCAGUGGAGAAAGAGUAAUUCACACGGAGCCAGCUGUGCGGGAGACCAGAGUUUUAUUAUUAUUCAUAUCAGUCUCCGCAGGCAUUAGGGGAUCAGUUUUUAAGGACAAUUUGGCAGGUAUGGGCUCCAAAAGUGGGGAGUGCUAAUUGAUCAGGUUGAAGAUAAAAUCACAGGGGGUCAAAGUGAGUUCUUCUUGCUGACUUCUGGGUGGGAUCACAGAACUGGCUGAGCCAGAUUAUCAGUCUGGGUGGUGUCAUCUGCUGCUUCGGCAUGCGGGGUCUACAAAACGUCUCAGGCACUGAUCUUAGGUUAGCUAAUUUGUUAGUUCUACAAAGGCAGACUGGCCCCCUGGCAUGAAGGGGUUUUUUGGGAAGGACCGUUAUCCAUUUUGUUUCAGAGUUUAAACUAUACACUAAAUUCCUUCCCAAGGCUAGUUCAGCCUACACCCAGGAAUGAACAAAGACACUUUACAGGUUAAAAGAAAGAUGGGGUCACUUAGGUCCGAUCUCUUUCACUGACCUAAUUUCCUAAGUUAUGACUUUUGCAAAGGUGGUUUUAAUAACAUGGAGCUCCCGAUGGUGACAGGCCACACUGAGAGCAGGGAGAAAACAUCCAUGGUGAGGACAUAGCACUGCAGAGAUGACAAAUCUCAAGGGGCAAUAAGAUGCUCUUGCAUUUCCCUAUAAAUUAGAACAUGCUGCCCUCCAAAAGAGGAAUUGGGGAAGGCUGGACAUUCAAAGUGAUCAUUUAUCAUUUGGUUAAUAUUAGUUCUAACCCACAUAUAUGUACAAAUAUAUAUAAUUUAUAUAAGUCUAUAUAUAUGUAUGUAUAUAUAUUUAUAUAGAGACAGGCUCUCGCUAUGUUGCCCAGGCUGGUCUCAAACUCCUGGGCUUAAGCCAUCCUCCUGCCUCAGCUUCCCAAAGUGCUGGGAUUGCAGGUAUGAGCCACUGUGCUUCAAGUCCAAAGUUCCACACAUUCUGCUAUACUCACACCACACACCUUCUCAGCAUUUCCACAUCCUUUCUUGCUUCCACAUUCAGUUCUUCAUGAAUCUGGUGUCAAGCACAGCUCCUUUAUCAAUUUUCGUAAAGAAAUGUACUCUGAAGGUUUUGAGGAUUGGUCAUGGGAUAUGUAAUAUGAAUGUGUUGGGGCUCAGAAAAUGAUACCCCAAGUGAAGGCCUCAAAAGCAAAGUUUCUCUCUGGCCUUCUCCUGCCCCCAUCUCUCGCCCCUCAUUUUCCCCCAAGGAAAGCCAUAAAAACUAUAAUCUCAGCCCGGCGCGGUGGCUGACGCCUGUGAUCCCAGCACUUUGGGAGGCUGAGGUGGGCAGAUCACCUGAGGUCAGGAGUUCAAGACCAUCCUGGCCAACAUGUUGAAACCCCAUCUCUACUAAAAAUACAAAAAUUAGCCAGGUGUGGUGGCGCAUGCCUGUAAUCCCAGCUACUCGGGCAGCUGAGGCAGGAGAAUCACUUGAACCCAGGAGGCAGAAGUUGCAGUGAGCCGAGAUCAUGCCAUUGCACUCCAGCCUGGGUGACAGAGUAAGACUCUGUCUCAAAAAAAACCAAAAACCAAAAAACAAAAAAAAACAAACAACAACAACAACAAAAAAUAGCCAGGCGGGGUGGCUCACACUUAUAAUCCCAGCACUUUGGGAGGCCGAGGUAGGUGGAGCACCUGAGGUCAGGAGUUCAAGACAAGCCUGACCAACAUGCUAAAACCCUGUCUCUACUAAAAAUACAAAAUUCAACCAGGUGUGGCAGGCAUCUGUAAUCCCAGCUACUCAGGAGGCUGAGGCAGGAGAAUCCCUUGAACCCGGGAGGCGGAGGUUGUAGUGAGCUGAGAUCGCGCCACUGCACUCCAGCCUGGGAGACAGAGCAAGACUCCAUCUCAAAAAAUAAAACAAAACAAAAAAACCUAGAAUCCUUCCCCAAGGUGGGUUAUAGAAACCAGAACCCCUCUCCCCCAAAGCCAGCCAUAAAACCUAAAAGUAUUAUUCUAACCUUCCCCUGACUUGCUGUGUAAGAGCUGCACAUAAAGAAAUCCCCGGCUGGGCAUGGUGGCUCACGCCUGUAAUCCUAAUACUUUGGGAGGCCAAGGCAGGAGGAUCGCUUGAGCCCAGGAGUUCAAGACCAGCCUAGGCAACAUAGCCAGACCUCAUCUCUACAAAAAAUGUAAAAAAUUAGUUGGGUGUACUGGCAUGAACCUGUAGUUCCAGCUACUUGGGAGACUGAGGCAGGGAGGAUGGCCUGAGACUGGGAGGUCAAGGCUGCAGUGAGGCAUGAUCAUGCCACUACACUCCAGCCUAAGUGACGGAGUGAGAUCCUGUCUCUAAAGACAAAAGAAGAAAUAAAGUGAGAAAAAAGGGAAUUAUUUUUAAAAAGAAAGAAAUUUUCUGGCCUAUCUUGUUUAAUAGGAGUUUGUAAGACCCCCAUUCCAGAAAGGGUCCUGCCCCAUACCUGAGAGGAAGGAUUGUUGUACAAAGAGGCCAAGAAUCAUCUAAACAGUUGCAGUCUGUUCCCAUUAGGUCAUACCCUUUUUGUUCAAUCACAUUUCCACACAGCUGUCUAUUCUUUAUUGAACCCAAGCAUAAAAAAUGGAUAGCUUUAUUAGUCGGGCAUGGUGGUAUACACCAGUAGUCCCAGCUACUCAGGAGCUGACACAAGAAGAUCACUUGAGACCAGGAGUUUGAGGCUAUAGUGAGCUAUGAUUGUGCCUCUACACUGUAGCCUGGGCAACAGAGUGAGACCGUCUCCAAAAUAAAUAAAUAAACAAAUAAAUAUAGUUUUCCCUGUAUCUUUGGGUCUGCAUUCUGAAGUCUCCCAUGUCAUAUAAAAGUAUGAUUAAAUAAAUAUGUUAUGCUGUUCAAUUGUUAACCUGUCGUUUGUUACAGGAAUGUUGGCUGUGACCCUCAUGAUGUAGAGGAAAGUGAUUACCAACUUUCUGUCCCUGCAAAUGUCACAGACUCUACACACCACACUCUUACUCUUUCUUCCCUCCCUUUCCAGAGUAAUCAGCAAAUGCCUUUCCUUUCUCCUGCUGAUGUUUUGCCCGUACUCAGACCCCUUGACUUCUUAGCUUCUACCCAAAGUGAGCUUGUCAUCAAAGUUCUCCAAAAAUCUGCAGUGUUCUCUUGAGCAAAUCUGGUGAGUAUAAUUUCCUCAUCUCAUAAACUUAGGAUCAAAUGACCAUCUCACAAAAUCCCAGGACAAGAAAAGCCUGGGAAACUAGAUCAAGCUUAGACAGCCAGACUUCUCCCUCCGAUUUUCAAGCCUCCUGAUCCCUCCGGUCCCCUUCUCUUUAUGUGCCUGCUCCAUUCUGCUUUCCUUGAAGCUGAGCUUUCUGAGGCUACUUAUACAUGUUGUGAUAAUAGCCAUCCCAAUUCAGCUCAUGUGCCUACCAUCAAAUCCAUCAAAUGAUUGCAGUCAUUGUGCUGUAUUUAACUUUUUUUUUUUUUUUUUUUUUUUGAGAUGGAGUGUCACUCUUGUCACCCAGGCUGGAGUGUAAUGGUGUGAUCUUGGCUGACUGCAACCUCCACCUCCUGGGUUCAAGCGAUUCUCUUGCCUCAGCCUCCUGAGUAGCGGGGAUUACAGGCACCCACCACCACGCCCAGCUAAUUUUUGAAUUUUUAGUAGAGACGGGGUUUCACCAUGUUGGCCAGGCUGGACUCGAACUCCUGACCUCAGGUGAUCCACCUGCCUCGGCCUACCAAAGUACUGGGAUUACAGGUGUGAGCCACCAUGCCUGGCCUCAUAGUUUAAUUCCUUGAGCAAUAAAGAGAGGGAGCAUCUAACUGGUAGCCUUGGGUCAGAUCUAAUCAGCUGUUGCCCAGGGGUAAUGAAAUGAGAUGAAAGUCGGUUAUGGCCCACUCUUACAGGAUCUGUGGUCCAGGUAGGUACAGAAGUUUAUCUAAUCAAAGUAGCUAGCCUAUUUAUUCUCAGUGGUUGUUGGAGGAUUUCAGGGCACUGAUAUCCCAAUUUCUUGUUCUAGUUCUCAACGAACUGGGAAAUAAAGUAAAAGAAUAAGGUAAUAAGAGGCCGGGCAUGGUGACUCACACCUGUAAUCCCAGCACUUUGGGAGGCCGAGGCAGGCAGAUCGCCUGAGGUCAGGAGUUCGAGACCAGCCUGGCCAACAUAGCAAAACCCCAUCUUUACUAAAAAUACAAAAAUUAGCCAGGCGUGGUGGCAGGCACCUGUGAUCCCAGCUAUUCAGGAGACUGAGGGAGGAGAAUCGCUUGAACCCGGGAGGUGGAGGUUGCAGUGAGCCGAGAUCAUCCACUGCACUCCAGCUUGGGUAACAGAGCAAGACUGUCUCAAAAAAAAAAAAAAAAACAAGGUAAUAAGAGAUCAAAACCACAGUAUUACUGAUAAAAUUCACAUUGGCAAAUGUGGCUUUAUCAUUUAGCAAAUGGGUCCCUUGAUUCUGAACACCAGAAUUAGGGAGACUAACCCACCCACUCACAGAUGGUAUACAAAAAUUAUAGCUUCCCCCUUGAUUUAUAUAGAGGAAUCAAUAUUGACCAUGAGUUUAUUAUUGUUAAAGUGGGUAAUGGGUACGUGAAUCUUUAUACUAUUAUCUCUCCUAUUUAAGUACUCUGCAUUUAAUAACUUUUUGGAGUAAAUCUAAUCGUGCAGUUAUAUCUUCCCCCAACGCUCUGAGAGAGAGAUAUCAGAAACAUUCUCUUCUUUUUGCAAAGUGUAGAAAUUUGCAAUGAUGCCACCUCAGUCAUUAGGCCUUAUUGAAGGGAUUUUUUAAUUUCCAUCCAGCCUGCUCAAAUUUUCCUAUACAGUUCAAUACACUGAUUGAGGCCAGGCGCGGUGGCUCACACCUGUAAUCCCAGCACUUCGGGAGGCCAGACGGGUGGAUCACGAGGUCAGGAGAUCGAGAACAUCCUGGCUAACAUGGUGAAACCCCAUCUCUACUAAAAAUACAAAAAAUUAUCCGGGUGUGGUGGUGGGCACCUGUAGUCCCAGCUACUCGGGAGGCUGAGGCAGGAGAAUGGCGAGAACCCGGGAGGCAGAGCUUGCAGUGAGCCGAGAUCGAGCCACUGCACUCCAGCCUGGGCGACAGAGCAAGACUCCAUCUCCCAAAAAAAAAAAAAAAAUACACUGAUUGAGCCCCAAGCUCUGGCAUCCCAGUGUACCCCAAGUGCAUGCCUGUUGUGUUGCAGCUUCCAAGACUAUAGCGCUCUGAUGCAUUGAGAUGACAGCAAGCGGCAUUUUUCAGUCCUGUUACCCAUAUGGCUGCUACCACUGCAUCCUGUUAAAUAAUGUCUUCAACCCAAGAAACCUGCUUCCUAGGGAAGUUUCUCUCUCUCUGCAUUUGUUCCCACUAGAGAAUGACCAUCACCAGAUUCCUGAACUGAAAAUGCUGUUGACACUUUGGAAACUCGGGCCUCUAUUAAUAGGGUGACCAACUAUCCUGGUUUACCUUGAGUACAGGAUUUUCAAUGCUAAAACCAGAAAAACCAGGAUGGUUGGUCAUCUGCCUCAGACCUAAUAAAUACCAGUCAAUAAUUCAGCCAUGAGCUUUCUUAAGACACUGUCUUUUCUUGACUGUUGAAUAGUCUAGGACUUGAGUAGCAGCUCUUUCUGCUACUGGACACUUGUUUUACUACCCUAUUUCUCUAGAUUUUAUUUUGUGGCUAAUAAUUAAGACAUAAAAUCAUGGGUUCUGGUUAUGCCAAAGCACUCACUCUUCAAAAGUUUCCAUCCAGAGUUGGAUAAUCCCACACAGAAGGUGUUCUUUCAACAGACCAGCAUCCAAUAGACCCAAUGCAGCAUUUUUCUUCCUGGUUCCACAUUAAUACAUCCUAUCUCUGCUAUGCUUAGGUCCCUGAUUUAUAAAUAUUUCAGACAUAUUUUCUCAGGACACAGGGAGUACUUAAACUUCCACAUAGCAGAGAUACGACAUACAAUAAGCUGUUAUCUGGAAACUCCUAGUGAUGCUUUGAGUACUUUACAGUAAUCUUUCUGGUCUUCCUCUCAACCCCAUUAAGUUUUUCUGUAACUAGCUGGUGUAUCUGUCUCCAUCUUUAAGGAAUAAGUCCCUAUUUGCUCAUGCUAUAAUCUCCCUCAUGCUCUCCGUCCCUCCUUCCCUCUCCUUCUCUCUUUCUGUCUCUCUCUCUCUCCACCCUGAUUGUGAGAUGCUACACCUUAAUAGUUUUCUAUACCUAGAUCCCUUUUGAAGGAGUAAUUUCAGCCAUCACUGAAAUCUAUGCUUUUUUAUCUUGUUAGAUUUAUUUAGGACCUAAUGACUGUUUCUGAGCUAAUAAUAACGCAAUCAGCUCAUAUUUUUCUGAUACUCUAAGAGCAAUUACAUCUAGUUGCAUCACCUUUUCCUUUUUUAUUCAUGUAUCUUAGGCUUCUCAAGAUAUGAGACUAGCACUUGAGCCUGAGAUAAGCCUUAAGAAUUCCAGGAUAGUCUCUCCAUAGUUCCCUUUCUUGGAUAAAGUCAUUUCAAAACAUCUUAGUGGAUCAGAUUUGGAGCAGCCUACUUACACUGGUGAAUACCACAACUAAUAAAUAAUUGUUCUGCACCCCACCCACAUCUAAAGGAUUCAGGGUGUCUUUUACAGAUAUAGGACUCUCCUUUCUCUGUUUCUCUUCUCUCUCUUCUCCUUGAUUAAAGCUUUGCUUCAGCUGUCCCUGCUCACUACGGCACUGCACCUCACCAGCAUCUUCAUGGCCCUCACAUGGCUCAUGUGCAUAUCCUAACUCUGAUACUAAGGGAGGAGACCACCCCUCAUAUUGUCUUAUGCCCAAUUUCUGCCUCCAAAGAAAGAAGAAGUAAAAACUAAAAGGCAGAAAUGAAAUCCACAAGCAGACAGCCCGGCGCCACACCCUGGGCCUGGUAGUUAAAGAUCGACCCCUGACCUAAUCGGUUAUUUGCAUAAGAAAAGCACUGUGAAGAUCCCUGUCCUGUUCUGUUCCAUUCUAAUUACCGGUGUAUGCAGCCCCCAGUCAUGUACCCCUGCUUGCUCAAUCGAUCACGACCCUCUCACGUGGACCCCCUUAGAGUUGUGGGCCCUUAAAAGGGACAGGAAUUGCUCACUCGGGGAGCUUGGUUGUUGGAGAUGUGAGUCUUGCUAAAGCUCCCAGCCGAAUAAAGCCCUUCCUUCUUAACUCGGUGUCUGAGAGGUUUAGUCUGCAGCUUGUCCUGCUCUAAUACCUGUGUAGUUCAAGAAUAAUCUACAGCACAUUACACCCAAGGCUCUCACUUUGGCUAUAGUUGUGUCUUUACUGAGCCAUCCCCCAACCCCGCCCACAGUGGCAUCUGGCUAAGGCCUACCCUUUUGAAUAUUAA